rnacentral:rRNA from 1 species
CCUACGGGUGGCAGCAGUGAGGAAUAUUGGUCAAUGGACGAGAGUCUGAACCAGCCAAGUAGCGUGAAGGAUGACUGCCCUAUGGGUUGUAAACUUCUUUUAUAUGGGAAUAAAAUGUUCCACGUGUGGGAUUUUGUAUGUACCAUAUGAAUAAGGAUCGGCUAACUCCGUGCCAGCAGCCGCGGUAAUACGGAGGAUCCGAGCGUUAUCCGGAUUUAUUGGGUUUAAAGGGAGCGUAGGUGGAUUGUUAAGUCAGUUGUGAAAGUUUGCGGCUCAACCGUAAAAUUGCAGUUGAAACUGGCAGUCUUGAGUACAGUAGAGGUGGGCGGAAUUCGUGGUGUAGCGGUGAAAUGCUUAGAUAUCACGAAGAACUCCGAUUGCGAGGGGAGUUCACUGGACUGCAACUGACACUGAGGCUCGAAAGUGUGGGUAUCAAACAGGAUUAGAUACCCGUGUAGUC